UGGGAAAUAGCCAAGUGGUAAGGCAUCAGAUUUUGAUUCUGAGAGCAUAGGUUCAAUUCCUAUUUUCCCAA
rnacentral:tRNA from 1 species